rnacentral:rRNA from 2 species
UAAUUCUAGAGCUAAUAUUUACUGAAAGCCGUGACUCACGAAGCGGCGAAUUUAUUAGAUCAAAAUCAACCUGCUCGCAAGAGUGGUUCCUUGAUGAAUCUGGAUAACUUUACUGAUCGUAUGACCAUUUUGUGUUGACGACAUAUCUCUUGAAAAGGCUGACCUAUCAACUUUCGAUGGUAAGAUCAAAGCUUACCAUGGUUGUAACGGGUAACGGGGAAUCAGUGUUCGAUUCCGGAGAGGGAGCCUGAGAAACGGCUACCACAUCUACGGAAGGCAGCAGGCGCGUAAAUUACCCAAUACCGGCUCGGUGAGGUAGUGACAAAAAAUAACAAUAUGGGCCCUAGUGGUUUCAUAAUUGCAAUGAGAACAUUUUAAAUACUUUAUCAAGUAUCAAUUGGAGUAUAUUUCUAAUGCUCUUUAAUGGGUGUUAUUGAUAACCGACAAGUUUACUUUGAAAAAAUUAGAGUGCUUAAAGCAGGCUUAUGCUUGUAUAUUGUUGCAUGGAAUAAUGAAAUAGGACUUCGGUUUUAUUUUGUUGGUUUUCGAAACUGAAGUAAUGAUUAAAAGAGACUGCCGGGGGCAUAUGUAUGCUGGUGUGAGAGGUGAAAUUCUAAGAUCGCCAGCAGACAAACUACUGCGAAAGCAUUUGCCAAGAAUGUUUUCAUUAAUCAAGAACGAAAGUCAGAGGAUCGAAGACGAUCAGAUACCGUCCUAGUUCUGACCAUAAACUAUGCCAACUGACAGUUAGCGAAGGUAGUUUUCACAUCCUUGCUAGAAGUCACCGGGAAACCUAAGUCUAUGGGUUCCGGGGGAAGUAUGGUUGCAAAGCUGAAACUUAAAGGAAUUGACGGAAGGGCACCACCAGGAGUGGAGCCUGCGGCUUAAUUUGACUCAACACGGGAAAUCUCUCCCGGUCCGGGACACUGUGAGGAUUGACAGAUUGAUAGCUCUUUCUUGAUUCGGUGGGUGGUGGUGCAUGGCCGUUCUUAGUUGGUGGAGCGAUUUGUCUGGUUAAUUCCGAUAACGAACGAGACUCUAACCUGCUAACUAGUACGCUUGUGUUUAAUUGCAAGUGCUGACUUCUUAGAGGAAUAAGUAGCUUUUAGCUAAAAGAAAUGGAGCAAUAACAGGUCUGUGAUGCCCUUAGAUGUCCGGGGCCGCACGCGCGCUACAAUGGCAGUAACAGCGAGUUAACAAUCCUAGCUAGAAAUGGCCGGGUAAUCUGCUGAAUCACUGUCGUGUCAGGAAUAGUGGAUUGAAAUUUUCCCACUUGAACGAGGAAUUCCUAGUAAGCGCAAGUCAUUAGCUUGCGCUGAUUACGUCCCUGCCCUUUGUACACACCGCCCGUCGCUACU